AUGGGGGGUGUAAAAUCAGGAUCAGGGCUAGAUGUGACGAUCACCUUUCAUCGUUCUCCUUCUCUGCGAAACACGAGUGGUGCCACUUCCUUCUCCUAUUCUCCACCCCGAAGCUGCCAUUCUUCUUCUCCAAUCUUCCUUGCUCAUAUUACUGUUGUAACUACUUCAUCUUCUCCAUCUUAUCUUCCCUCUCUAUCAAACUCCCUUCUGAUACCUCAUCGAUUUCACGUAUUCCCUCGUCUCCCUUUGCUUCACCGCAAACUCAACCUUUUGAACUCCGCCAUGAGUGCUUUGUUUAACAUUGUUCUCUCGUCACAAGCGUCAUGGACGACUCAACUCAGACUUCGCUUCAACUCAACCUUUUACUUACCGUAA